rnacentral:rRNA from 1 species
CCCUUAGAUGUUCUGGGCCGCACGCGCGCUACACUGAUGCGUUCAACGAGCCUAUCCUUGACCGACAGGUCCGGGUAAUCUUUGAAUCUGCAUCGUGACGGGGAUAGAUUAUUGCAAUUAUUAAUCUUCAACGAGGAAUGCCUAGUAGGCGCAAGUCAUCAGCUUGCGUCGAUUACGUCCCUGCCCUUUGUACACACCGCCCGUCGCUACUACCGAUUGAACGGUUUAGUGAGGGCCUCGGAUUGGUCUCGGCCCGCUCUUUACCGGGCGGCGCCGUUGGUCGAGAAGACGCUCGAACUUGAUCGUUUAGAGGAAGUAAAAGUCGUAACA